AAGCGUUAUCCGGAAUUAUUGGGCGUAAAGCGUCCGCAGGCGGUCUGUCAAGUCUGCUGUUAAAGCGUGGAGCUUAACUCCAUUUCGGCAGUGGAAACUGACAGACUAGAGUGUGGUAGGGGCAGAGGGAAUUCCCGGUGUAGCGGUGAAAUGCGUAGAUAUCGGGAAGAACACCAGUGGCGAAGGCGCUCUGCUGGGCCAUAACUGACGCUCAUGGACGAAAGCCAGGGGAGCGAAAGGGAUUAGAUACCCCUGUAGUCCUGGCCGUAAACGAUGAACACUAGGUGUCGGGGGAAUCGACCCCCUCGGUGUCGUAGCCAACGCGUUAAGUGUUCCGCCUGGGGAGUACGCACGCAAGUGUGAAACUCAAAGGAAUUGACGGGGGCCCGCACAAGCGGUGGAGUAUGUGGUUUAAUUCGAUGCAACGCGAAGAACCUUACCAGGGUUUGACAUCCUGCGAAUCUCUUGGAAACGAGAGAGUGCCUUCGGGAGCGCAGUGACAGGUGGUGCAUGGCUGUCGUCAGCUCGUGUCGUGAGAUGUUGGGUUAAGUCCCGCAACGAGCGCAACCCACGUCGUUAGUUGCCAGCAUUUAGUUGGGCACUCUAGCGAGACCGCCGGUGAUAAACCGGAGGAAGGUGUGGAUGACGUCAAGUCAUCAUGCCCCUUACAUCCUGGGCUACACACGUACUACAAUGCUACGGACAAAGGGCAGCAAACUCGCGAGAGCUAGCAAAUCCCAUAAACCGUGGCUCAGUUCAGAUCGUAGGCUGCAACUCGCCUACGUGAAGGAGGAAUCGCUAGUAAUCGCAGGUCAGCAUACUGCGGUGAAUACGUUCCCGGGCCUUGUACACACCGCCCGUCACACCAUGGAAGUUGGCCACGCCCGAAGCCGUUACUCCAACCCUUGUGGAGGAGGACGUCGAAGGUGGGGCUGAUGACUGGGGUGAAGUCGUAACAAGGUAGCCGUA
rnacentral:rRNA from 1 species